AAAGAUUGGUUGAUAACAAGUCACAGUGUAUUUAACCAUCAUCACAGCAGAUGUAGACAGAAAUGGCACCACUGCUUAUGAAGGAAACUGGAACCCAGAAGCACACCCUCCCCUCAUUCACCAUGAGCAUCAUGAGGAAGAAGAGACCCCACAUUCUACAAGCACAAAUAGGAAUGAUGUCACAGGUGGAAGAAGAGACCCAAAUCAUUCUGAAGGCUCAACUACUUUACUGGAAAGUUAUACCUCUCAUUACCCACACACGAAGGAAAGCAGGACCUUCAUCCCAGUGACCUCAGCUACGACUGGGUCCUUUGGAGUUACUGCAGUUACUGUUGGAGAUUCCAACUCUAAUGUCAAUCAUUCCUUAUCAGGAGACCAAGACACAUUCCACCCCAGUGGGGGGUCCCAUACCACUCAUGGAUCUGAAUCAGAUGGACACUCACAUGGGAGUCAAGAAGGUGGAGCAAACACAACCUCUGGUCCUAUAAGGACACCCCAAAUUCCAGAAUGGCUGAUCAUCUUGGCAUCCCUCUUGGCCUUGGCUUUGAUUCUUGCAGUUUGCAUUGCAG
rnacentral:sRNA from 1 species